GCGAGGCUUUUAAAGGUCUUGAGAGACAACACUUUUAAUGUUGGGGUCCUGGGUUCGAGCCCCAGGCGGAUCACCA
rnacentral:tRNA from 1 species